UUUUGAUGUUUGAUGCUGAGCAAGAUAUUCAUGCUUUGCGACAUUUUUUGAAUGACUCUACUGCUUUGAUUUGACUUUUUAAGGCCUUGAUCUGUGGGAGAAAGAGUCGAGACUUUUGAAACGAUGUUUCCAUCACUUAUUGACGGAUUCAUUUGCAACACAAUCCCAAUCCUUAAAAACCUUAGUUAGUCUACACAUGUUGAUCUGAGAUGUUUUCACCAGCACCGGGCUAAUUCGGUUUCCAUUAGCACUCGUGUGUGAUUAAUACCCUCCCAUCCACUUGAUUUAGGAUUCAUCACCGUUUUCUGUCAGAAAUCCUGUGUGGAGAAUGUCAGUCAGUUCCUCCCUUCAGCAGAGAACCAAGACGCAAGGAACGGAUCCGGACGACAGCGGGGAUGACUGGGAGAUCGGCGUCGGGAAUCUGAUCAUCGACCUGGACGCGGAUUUGGAGAAGGAUCGACAGAGAUUGGAGAUGAAUCGCGUUUUGAGCGUUAAAAGCGCGGCGGAAGGUCGCGAGGCGCUGGAAUACAAUUGCGCAAACGCAGGAGGCGCCGCGUUCGACGGCCUGACGCAGCCGUUCCUCUGCAAGGAGCCCAAGAAAUUCAAGCUGAAACGCAGGAAUUCCGCCACGGACGCGGAUCGGUUCCCGUCGCCGGAGAUCGCGAGCGGCGUUCCCAAAGCAUGCGUCGGUAAGCGGCGCGAGGCUCAAGGACGCGGCGGAGAGAUGAAUUCAGCACCAGCGCCGGUGGACAGCGACGAACCGGCGCCGCUCGGCAGAACCAAAGACGGCAAGAAGGGCAAAACCCCGAGCAGAGGAGCGAAGAGGGAGAAGGACUCGGCCAAGACGCGGAAGGAGAAGCCCGGCGAUGAAUUUGGGCCGCUUUCUGAGAACGGAACGGAGAGCCUCGUCGGCAGGGGCGGGAUGGACGCGGCUAUUGUUGACCACGCAAACACCGAGGAGCACAGCCUGAGAACGUUGAGCGUUAAGACACGGUCGGUCGGAACUAACACCCAGGAAGCCGAGAAAGCCUUCGAGUCCAGCUACAUGGAGCCAUGUCAGCCAGGAACGAGCGUCAAUCUGGAGGGUAUUGUGUGGCACGAGACGGAGGAAGGGGUUCUAGUUGUGAAUGUGACAUGGAGGAAAAGGACCUAUGUGGGCACUCUCUUGGACUGCACCAAGCACGACUGGGCUCCACCACGGUUCUGUGAAUCUCCAAUGAGUGAUUCUGAAAUGCCUUACGCACGUGGACGUGGUAAACGGAUGCGGCUGGCCAUACCAGAUCAACCAGCUGCAGACCCGAGUCUUUCCAAGAUACGAGGACUCACUCACAAGAGGCGCGGUGUGGGGAUUGGCAACAAAGGAAGACGAGGGAGUCUGAACCUGAGUGGCUGUAGGACACCUGGAUACUACGCCGUGGAGGACAUCAAAUCCAAUCCACUUAUGUGCGGAAAACGGAAAGGCAAAGCCCCGGCCGAUCUCGAUUUAAGCUUGGUCUCGGAUGACAUUAGGAAUGGGAAUGGGAAGAGGAUACGAGCCAAAUCCAGGAGCGCUCCUUCCACCCCUCAGGGUAAAUCCGACCCGGUGUUUCUUGAUCAAGUUUGCGCGUCGCCAAUGCUAAUAGACUGUCCGCAUCCGAACUGCAACAAGAAGUACAAACAUAUCAACGGUCUCCGUUACCACCAGUCACACGCUCACCUGAACAGUGAAAGAAAGCAAGAGUUUGAGGUGGAGAGCGAGGACAGACUUUCAGAUUUUGAUGAAGGGCUUAGCUCGGUACCUUUUGAUUCUCCGGAGAACAUCAUCUCCAAGAAGCCCAGAAGCAUGUAUAAACUCAAUGCGGUCGGUUCGCCGAAAAGCAGGAAAGCAUUGCUCAACAAUGAUAGCAGUCCCAUAGCCAAUGCAAAACUACGCCCAAAUGUGGCAAAUAAAGACGGAGCAAUUGACGAUCUGAGCAACCUCCCACUCAUUUCCAACAUGUCCGUGGUCCUUGAGAACUGCCUCAUGACGGAUCGUAACACAUCUGUUGAGAUGCCUAAGCUAGAAGCGGAGGGUGCUAUUGAUAAGAGGGACAUAUGUAGCAAAGUUAAGAAAGAAGGGUUCACUGAGAGAUGCUUAGCUAAGUCUCGAACCAACAGACUCAUCAACGCCGCCCCUGCUCCUCCGAAGCUGACCGCUAUCCCGCCUGCUGCAUUUUCCACUAAAAUCACAGACGUUUCAUCUCAUCAGGCCUCUCCGACUGUUGCCCUCACAAAAGCCAAGAACCUCUCCCUGAAACCAAUCAAGCCAAAGCUGGAAGUUAUUGCACAAGUUAACAUGGCCAACACCACCCCGGUUCUGAGCAAAGACAGUAAGAGAAAGGAAAAGCAUCGAUUAAAGGACAGGAAUUGUAAAGAUCCCCGGAGUCCCAAAAGUGACCCGAUUUACACAAAAGCAGACGACACAAAGAGUAUCGGUAAAGACUUUCCUGUGAGCCUCUUGAAAGAGCACUUGAGCAAGCAAGAUGUUGUAAACGGUCCAAGUGAAACGCAAGAAAGCCGCAUGGCGAGCAUCAGAGCCGAGGCCGACAAGGUAUACACCUUCUCGGACAACGCACCGAGUCCGUCCAUCGGGAGCUCCGCAAGAACAGACUGCGUCCCUCUUACAAACGGAGAUGGAGUGAGUGCUAAAACCAACAGCCCUGCAUACUCCGACAUAUCCGAUGCAGCUGAGGACGGUGGGUCAAACUCAAGGUCCAGAAGGAACUCGACACAAGAUUCAAACUCAAACAGCAACAUCAAUCCCAAAAUUCCCUCAAUGAGUUCCGCUCCCACGGUGACCCCAGGAAAAGAGGUCCAGUCCGCAUCUCACAGCCACGGUUAUGAAUCCCAUUGCAUCCCAGGUUACUUGCAUUCUGGGCAAGCCAAUUCCACUUCGUUCCAUAAAGUGGCCUCACCUUACGGUCGGACAAAGGAUGAUUUGAGAGAUUUAAGUGAGGAUAUAAAAAGCUCAGAAUCCUCUAGCCACUCCCAAUCACAGCUUCAGUAUGCUGAGACGCACACGGCGCUGGCUCAGUCUUUGUACUAUGGACAGUACAGCCGGGGUGUUUCCAUGGACCAGAAGGUUCUAAUGAUGCCCGGCUCCCACAGACCGCUCAGUGAGGCAUGCUGUGAAGAAAUGCAGUAUAGCAAGAGUAGAGGUCAAGUCAGACGAGGAUCUGAGCAAAAGGAACGAACAAAGGAUGAGCAAAAACAAUUUCUAAGCUCUCCCCAGUCGAUUCAUAAAGGGGCAAACUCUGUUAAGAUUAACUGUGCAAAACCUGGCUUCAUCUACGUGGAUUUGGACAAGCAGCUGUCAUUUCAGCAGCAACAGGGGAAAUCGUCCCAUAUCUCCAUGUCUAAAGAACAAGGGGUCCUCAAGGAAUCUGAAGACCUCAGUUUGGAGAAUUCAAACUCAAAAUCAAAUGCGGACACAAAUGUAACAUUUCUAAAUGCUUCAGAAUCUCAGUCCUGGAGCCACUCUUAUCAGUCCAAAUAUGUGAAGCAGCAAAAUCAAGAGGUCAACAAGAUCUCAGAGGAAAUGAGUCUGAGUCCAGACAAGGGGAAAGAUUGGCACAUGCCUCUAGAGCCCGAGUCCAGGCUGGAGGCCGAUCUCCAGAACGUCAAGUGUGAGACGGCUGCCGAGGUCAUCGAGGAAAGUACCAGACCCGAGGGGGACGAGAUAGCGAGUGAGACGUCUGAAGACUCGCAGAAUGCAAGAGGGGCUGCGUCGUCACCCCAGCAAUCCUUCAUCCAGUUUCAGCACUCCUACCCCUAUUUACACCUGUGUGAGACGAGCAGCAAUGCUUACAGAGUGAUGUCUCCGGCUUUGGUGCAUAAUUACCCAGGUUUCCAUUACCCUCUAUAUGGAAAAACGGCAGGGAGAGAGGAUUCGGAAGGGGCUCAAAGCAGCAAACCAGUGACAGAUUCGACAGCAUUAGAGCUUCUGUCGCAUCCUCUCCUGCCGUAUCAUGGCAAAUCUCCUGUUCCCGGAGAAAGAGGAUCUCCAGAGCAGGAACGGGAGACUGACCGGGAGAGAGAAUCGGUUCCCUUCGGCCGCCACCUUCAGGCACAUCAUCUCACUCACCUGGGCAUGAGCUAUACGCUGGUGUCCGGCCAGUAUGACCCCUUUCAAGGUGAAAAGGUUUGAGUUCUGCGGCACUGGUUGCAAACCAGCAAGUUACGACGACGCAGACCUGCUCCAGCGAAAACGACGGGAAGAUGUGAGAUGUUUCACAGACAUCGAUUCCAUGGUGUUACUCAUCGCCUCCAUUGGAGGCAGCGACUAAUUUCAUUUCUAACCAAUGAAUGUAUUAAUGGAGGACCGCAGUGGAACCCGACGCGGAGACAAGGACCUGAAAAACUUUCCUUCGGGUGCCAGUUACCAACAAGGUCCACGUAAACCCUCUGCUCAUUGGAUUUUGCCUGUAAAUGGCUACAUCUAGCUGUUUGUAUGCACUUAUAUUGUCUUGUAACCAUACUAUUGAAUGUAUUUGCUAUUUCAUCACCUCUGUGUGGUAAAGGACGGGUUGCAAUAGAUUCUAAGUGACUGUAAGGUGGCUCGCUCCGCAUUGACUUAUUAACAUGAAUAUACUGGUAUUAACAGCCAUUAAUCUAUUGUAUCGUAUAAAGUGGAUGUUAAUCGACAGUUCAUCUCAGUGCCAUACAGUAUUAUCAUGAUGUACAUAGUUGUACAUAGUUAAACAAAGCUCAACAGCGACUAUAACUAGCUUAUGUACCUUUGUAUUGAUUCAGUGCAAUGUAUGGUUGUCUACCCACCUCACUUAAACGGCAGACCUAGUCCUUUGUUACUUUAAUAGUAUGCAUUGAACUAAAUAUGUUUACAAGUGGUUUUCUGGACAGAAAGUCAAUGGCGUAGGUUGGUUGAGUCCCGUCAUACGUUUUUCUUGAUGUCUGCUAUAUCAUCAAACUGCAGUUGCUUUUUAUACUGUCUCUGCCUUAACAUGUUUGGCGAUCCAAAUAAAAAGUCAAGGUUGUUUUUA